rnacentral:tRNA from 1 species
GGGGCAGUAGCUCAGUAGUAGAGCUUCAGCCUUGUACGCGGGAAGACCUGAGUUCGAUUCCUGGCUGCUUCC